rnacentral:rRNA from 1 species
AAACCAACAGGGAUUGCCUCAGUAACGGCGAGUGAAGCGGCAACAGCUCAAAUUUGAAAUCUGGCUCUUUCAGGGUCCGAGUUGUAAUUUGUAGAAGAUGCUUUGGGUGUAGCUCCGGUCUAAGUUCCUUGGAACAGGACGUCAUAGAGGGUGAGAAUCCCGUACGUGACUGGGUGCUUUCGCUCGUGUAAAGCUCUUUCGACGAGUCGAGUUGUUUGGGAAUGCAGCUCAAAAUGGGUGGUAAAUUUCAUCUAAAGCUAAAUAUUGGCCAGAGACCGAUAGCGCACAAGUAGAGUGAUCGAAAGAUGAAAAGCACUUUGGAAAGAGAGUUAAACAGUACGUGAAAUUGUUGAAAGGGAAGCGCUUGCAACCAGACUUGCACGUUGUUGAUCAUCCGAGCUUUUGCCCGGUGCACUCGGCAGCGUUCAGGCCAGCAUCGGUUUCGGUGGGCGGAUAAAGGCCUUGGGAAUGUAGCUUCUUUCGGGGAGUGUUAUAGCCCUCGGUGCAAUGCGCCCUACCGGGACCGAGGACCGCGCUUCGGCUAGGAUGCUGGCGUAAUGGUUGUAAGCGAC